UACGUAGGGUGCAAGCGUUACUCGGAAUUACUGGGCGUAAAGCGUGCGCAGGCGGUUAUGCAAGACAGAUGUGAAAUCCCCGGGCUCAACCUGGGAACUGCAUUUGUGACUGCAUGGCUGGAGUGCGGCAGAGGGGGAUGGAAUUCCGCGUGUAGCAGUGAAAUGCGUAGAUAUCAGGAGGAAUACCGAUGGCGAAGGCAGGUCUCUGGGCUGAAACUGACGCUCAUGCACGAAAGCGUGGGGAGCAAACAGG
rnacentral:rRNA from 1 species